rnacentral:rRNA from 1 species
UUAGGCAUGCAAGUCGAGCGCAAUCUUUUGUUUAGCAAUAAAUGAGAGUGAAAGCGGCGAAAGGGAUAGUAACACGUGGAUCACGUACCCUCGGGUUUGGGAUAGCGGCGGGAAACUGCCGGUAAUACCAGAUAAUGUCUCCGGACCAAAGAUUUAUUGCCCGAGGAGCGGUCCGCGUCCUAUUAGGUAGUUGGUGGGGUAAUGGCUCACCAAGCCAAAGAUGGGUAGCGGGUGUGAGAGCACGACCCGCAUCACUGGGACUGAGACACUGCCCAGACACCUACGGGUGGCUGCAGUCGAGAAUCUUCCGCAAUGGGCGAAAGCCUGACGGAGCGACGCCGCGUGUGGGACGAAGGCCUUCGGGUUGUAAACCACUGUCGAGGGGGAGCAAAUUUUGAGCGAUCCCUGGAGGAAGCACCGGCUAAACUCGUGCCAGCAGCCGCGGUAAUACGAGUGGUGCAAACGUUAUUCGGAAUCACUGGGCUUAAAGGGUGCGUAGGCUGCUAUGAAGGUCUGAUGUGAAAUACCACGGCUCAACCGUGGAACGGCGUUGGAAACCACAUGGCUGGAGUGAGACAGAGGUAAGCGGAACUGAUGGUGGAGCGGUGAAAUGCGUUGAUAUCAUCAGGAACACCGGUGGCGAAAGCGGCUUACUGGGUCUUUACUGACGCUGAUGCACGAAAGCUAGG